CCGCCGGCGACCGGCGCACGGGUGAGUAACACGUAUGCAACCUGGCCGUGACAGAUGGAUAACCGGGAGAAAUCCCGCCUAAUACAACAUAAUGCCGGGAGGGGACAUCCCCUGCCGGCCAAAGAGGGCGACCCCGGUCACGGAUGGGCAUGCGGCGCAUUAGGUAGUUGGUGGGGCAACGGCCCACCAAGCCGACGAUGCGUAGGGGUUCUGAGAGGAAGGUCCCCCACAUUGGAACUGAGACACGGUCCAAACUCCUACGGAAGGCAGCAG
rnacentral:rRNA from 1 species